GACGAACGCUGGCGGCGUGCUUAACACAUGCAAGUCGUGCGGAAAGGCCCCUUUGGGGUGCUCGAGCGGCGAACGGGUGAGUAACACGUGAGUAAUCUGCCCUGCACUUUGGGAUAACUGCCGGAAACGGUGGCUAAUACUGGAUAGGACUGCAUCCUGCAUGGGGUGUGGUGGAAAGCCUUUGGGUGGUGUGGGAUGUGCUCGCGGCCUAUCAGCUUGAUGGUGGGGUAGUGGCCUACCAUGGCUUUGACGGGUAGCCGGCCUGAGAGGUGACCGGUCACACUGGGACUGAGACACGGCCCAGACUCCUGCGGGAGGCAGCAGUGGGGAAUAUUGGACAAUGGGCGGAAGCCUGAUCCAGCAACGCCGCGUGAGGGAUGACGGCC
rnacentral:rRNA from 1 species